UACGGAGGGUGCAAGCGUUAUCCGGAUUUACUGGGUUUAAAGGGUGCGUAGGUGGGUCUGUAAGUCAGUGGUGAAAUCUCCGGGCUUAACCCGGAAACUGCCAUUGAUACUAUAGGUCUUGAAUAUCCUGGAGGUGAGCGGAAUAUGUCAUGUAGCGGUGAAAUGCUUAGAUAUGACAUAGAACACCAAUUGCGAAGGCAGCUCGCUACACUAUCAUUGACGCUGAGGCACGAAAGCGUGGGGAUCAAACAGG
rnacentral:rRNA from 1 species